GCUUGUAUCCAUCGCAGCGCUUAGUCCAGCGGAACGACCCGGAGAAGAUUAGCGUGGCCCCCGCGCGAGGAUGACGCGCAAAUUCGCGAAGCGACCCGUAUUUUU